rnacentral:rRNA from 1 species
UACGUAGGGGGCAAGCGUUGUCCGGAAUCAUUGGGCGUAAAGAGCGUGCAGGCGGUCAGUUAAGUCCGCUGUGAAAUCUCGAGGCUCAACUUCGAGCUGUCGGUGGAAACUGUCUGGCUAGAGUCCGGAAGAGGAGAGUGGAAUUCCUGGUGUAGCGGUGAAAUGCGCAGAUAUCAGGAGGAACACCGAUGGCGAAGGCAGGUCUCUGGGCAUUAACUGACGCUGAGGAGCGAAAGCGUGGGGAGCGAACAGG